rnacentral:rRNA from 1 species
CCAGCAGCCGCGGUAAUUCCAGCUCCAAUAGCGUAUAUUAAAGUUGUUGCAGUUAAAAAGCUCGUAGUUGAAUUUCUGGUGUGGGGGCCGGUCCGCCGCUUUGCGGCGCGCACUUGGCUUGAAGCGGGUCGUGGUUUGUUCCGCGGUUCCGUGAUCCCGCGCCAUGCUUGCGUCGUGUGGUUGGCGCCUUUGUUGGCGUUCGGCUGCGUUAAGCGGCGCAUCGAUUACUGUGAACAAAUUAGAGUGUUUAAGGCGGGCGUUUAGGCUUGAAUACAUUAGCAUGGAAUAAUGGCAUAGGACUUUGGUUCUAUGUGUUGGUUGAGGACCGAGGUAAUGAUUAAUAG